ACGAAGUCAGGCACGGGCGG
rnacentral:misc_RNA from 1 species